AAAUCCUUUAACCAUAAGAGAAAAUGCUCAACCUGACUCAUUUAACUGAAUGCAAAUUAAAACUAACUGGGUUUCCAAUUCUCCCCUACAGAUUAGAAACUAUCAAAACUUUUGACUUUAUCCUCUGUUGGCCAGGUUGCGUAAAUGAGCCAUUCUCAUGUACUGCUGUUAAGGAUGCAAAGCAGCAUAAUCCAUAUAUGAGAAAAUUGAUGAGGCAAUAAUUGGCAAAAUUAUGAAAGCAUUUGCCCUUUGACCCAGCAAUUCUACUGCUAGUAAACAACCCCAAAGCUAAACUGAAAUCCAAAAAGAAAAGAAAAGAAGAAGGAAACAAGGAGAGAAGAGGAGAGGAGAGGAAUAUGUUCAUAGAGAAUACAGCCCAGAGUGCUGCAAUCCCAUUCAGUACUUCUUUUUUGAAAGGAGAGAAAUCCUAGCCCUGCAUAGUUAUGCAUUUCCAGCAAAAGAUAACAAGUCCCUGAAAAACAAGAACUCAUUAUAGUAGGCAACAAAAUAGAAUCAAUAUAAGUUUGUAACAUAAACAGUUUUAGAUUUUAAUGAUUCAUUCUAGUUCUUUUAGUAAUGUGUAAUUUGAAAGUUUACAUUGUUAUUUGCUUGUUGGUCAUAGACAUUGGGGUUAUUAUACUUAAAAUAGGUGGGGUGCAUGUGUGCACGGGCACAAGUGUGUGUGUGUACUUUGAAUAGUUUCUACAGAUUAACUUACUUUGGACAGAGACUGAGUCUCUCCAUAUAUAAAAGUCUAAUUAAAAUACAGUUUUUACAGAUUUUAUGGCCAAAAACUAAAAUCUAAAUUUAAAAUAUUAACAUGUAAGUUUAUUCCUUACUUAGAAAUACUUGAAUGUCUCUUACCUUUAUCCAAUACAGACAUACAAAAUAAAAUG
rnacentral:lncRNA from 1 species